rnacentral:rRNA from 1 species
UACGUAGGGGGCAAGCGUUGUCCGGAAUCAUUGGGCGUAAAGAGCGUGUAGGCGGUCAGGUAAGUCGGCUGUGAAAGUCCAGGGCUCAACCCUGGGAUGCCGGUCGAUACUGCCGGACUAGAGUUCGGAAGAGGCGAGUGGAAUUCCCGGUGUAGCGGUGAAAUGCGCAGAUAUCGGGAGGAACACCUAUGGCGAAGGCAGCUCGCUGGGACGUUACUGACGCUGAGACGCGAAAGCGUGGGGAGCGAACAGG